rnacentral:ncRNA from 2 species
UCACUAAAAAAUAUCAUUACUUAUUUAUGCCAUGAAUAGGCGUGGCGUUUCUACAAGGUACCGUAAAUACCUAACAAUGAGUAAGUCGAAGAGAGAU